UGGUCUCCAUGUAAGGCCAAAAGUUAUAUGAAAAGAAACUAGCGGACAUUGUUGCGGCAAAUUUUUUGCUUUGAUUUUAAAGAUAUGUCAUGUGGUUGAGGGGAGUUGGACUCUAGAAUAAAAAUAAAAAUGAAUAAUUUUCAUUCUAACCAUUUGAUUGUGUGGAGGAGUUCCAUUCCUAUUUCAAGUCCAAAAGAGAAUGAUAAUGCUUCAAUCCUCCAAUCCAGCUCAAGUUAAGAAACUGUCCAUCAAAUUUACAUGACUAAUGAUUUGGAUGGAGGAUAAAAAAUGGAGCUAAGCUUAGGUAUCAAGCGG
rnacentral:lncRNA from 1 species